rnacentral:rRNA from 1 species
CAGUCGCCGCGGGAAUACGAAGGGUGCAAGCGUUACUCGGAAUUACUGGGCGUAAAGCGUGCGUAGGUGGUGGUUUAAGUCCGUUGUGAAAGCCCUGGGCUCAACCUGGGAAUUGCAGUGGAUACUGGGUCACUAGAGUGUGGUAGAGGAUAGUGGAAUUUCCGGUGCAGCAGUGAAAUGCGUAAAGAUCGGAAGGAACAUCUGUGGCGAAGGCGACUAUCUGGGCCAACACUGACACUGAGGCACGAAAGCGUGGGGAGCAAACAGGAUUAGAUACCCCAGUAGUCCCUGUCUCUUAUAC